GCAAGGAACCCAUGCC
rnacentral:rRNA from 2 species